rnacentral:tRNA from 1 species
CGGGGCGUAGCGCAGUCUGGUAGCGCACUUGGUUCGGGACCAAGGGGUCGUCCGUUCAAAUCGGAUCGCCCCGACCA